GACAGAGGUGGCAAGCGUUAUUCGGAUUUAUUGGGCGUAAAGGGCGCGUAGGCGGCCAGGUGCGUCCGGUGUGAAAGCGCUACCGCUCAACGGAGCGACUGCACUGGAUACGGCUUGGCUUGAGUCCGGGAGAGGUGAGUGGAAUUCCUGGUGUAGCGGUGGAAUGCGUAGAUAUCAGGAAGAACACCAGUGGCGAAGGCGGCUCACUGGCCCGGCACUGACGCUGAGGCGCGAAAGCGUGGGGAGCAAACGGGAUUAGAUACCCCGGUAGUCCACGCUGUAAACGGUGGAUACUAGGUGUGGGAGGUAUCGACCCCUUCCGUGCCGCAGGUAACCCAUUAAGUAUCCCGCCUGGGGAGUACGGCCGCAAGGUUGAA
rnacentral:rRNA from 1 species